rnacentral:rRNA from 1 species
UCCAGACUCCUACGGGAGGCAGCAGUGAGGAAUAUUGGUCAAUGGUCGGGAGACUGAACCAGCCAAGCCGCGUGAGGGAUGAAGGUACAGAGUAUCGUAAACCUCUUUUGUCAGGGAACAAAGGCGGGGACGCGUCCCCGGAUGAGUGUACCUGAAGAAAAAGCAUCGGCUAACUCCGUGCCAGCAGCCGCGGUAAUACGGGGGAUGCAAGCGUUAUCCGGAUUUAUUGGGUUUAAAGGGUGCGUAGGCUGUGAGGUAAGUCAGCGGUGAAAUGCCCCCGCUCAACGGGGUGAAGUGCCAUUGAUACUGCCUUGCUGGAAUGCGGAUGCCGUGGGAGGAAUGUGUGGUGUAGCGGUGAAAUGCAUAGAUAUCACACAGAACACCGAUUGCGAAGGCAUCUCACGAAUCCGCGAUUGACGCUGAUGCACGAAAGCGUGGGUAUCAAACAGGAUUAGAUACCCCGGUA